UACGUAGGGGGCGAGCGUUGUCCGGAUUCAUUGGGCGUAAAGAGCUCGUAGGCGGCUUGGCAAGUCGGGUGUGAAAACUCCAGGCUCAACCUGGAGACGCCACCCGAUACUGCCAUGGCUUGAGUCCGGUAGGGGACCACGGGAAGUUCCUGGUGUCAGGCGGUGAAAUGACGCAGAUAUCAGGAGGAACACCGGUGGCGAAGGCGGUGGUCUGGGCCGGUACUGACGCUGAGGAGCGAAAGCGUGGGGAGCGAACAGG
rnacentral:rRNA from 1 species